GACGAACGCUGGCGGCGUGCUUAACACAUGCAAGUCGAACGAGAGCGUAGAGAAAGCUUGCUUUUUCUACAAUCUAGUGGCAAACGGGUGAGUAACGCGUAAACAACCUGCCCUACGGAUGGGGACAACAGCUGGAAACGGCUGCUAAUACCGAAUACGUUCCGAAAGUCGCAUGACUAUCGGAAGAAAGGAUGGCCUCUAUUUAUAAGCUAUCGCCGGAGGAGGGGUUUGCGUCUGAUUAGCUAGUUGGAGGGGUAACGGCCCACCAAGGCGACGAUCAGUAGCCGGUCUGAGAGGAUGAACGGCCACAUUGGAACUGAGACACGGUCCAGACUCCUACGGGAGGCAGCAGUGGGGAAUCUUCCGCAAUGGGCGAAAGCCUGACGGAGCAACGCCGCGUGAGGGAAGACGGCCUUCGGGUUGUAAAGCUCUGUUAUACGGGACGAAUAAUCUUGUGGUUAAUACCCAUGAGAAGUGACGGUACCGUAAGAGAAAGCCACGGCUAACUACGUG
rnacentral:rRNA from 1 species